rnacentral:rRNA from 1 species
AUCUACGACCAUAGGAAGAGGAACAUAGGGUAUCCCGUCCGCUCUGCCUUACUCAAGCCUCUUACCGAGCUCUCAGUACUAUCGUGGGUGACCAGAUGGGAAUCGGGCUUGUUGUAGAUU